UGAGCAGGUUCCUCUUCACACCAGCCUCCCUCAGGCUGGAACAUUUUGUUCCUUUAAUCCUUGAUAAACCAGCCUACGGCACGGCUCGCUUCACACUGUGCAGAUCGGGCGGCGGGGGGGGGUGCAGUGCCGGGAUCCGGCAGGCCCCCGUGAGGUUAGUGGGGCUGAGGGCCAGCCCCGGGCCCCCCCGGCGGGAGGCUGUCACCCUGGGGCGGGAGCCCACCCACGCCCCCGCGAUCCUGCAGCUCCUAGGUGCCCCCCCCAGAGCCCCACGAAGCCACAAACUGGAAGUUGGCCGGCUCCUCAAACCACAACUUGGAAGAGAAUCGUCCAGGAGAGCUGGUAAACAUGCUGGAGACACUGGGUACUCUGCAUCUAUUAUUUGGUCCCCACUGCCAUCACACUUGAUCGAUGACUGAAGCCCAGAGAAGUCCCACGCUGGGGAGCAGUGACCCCCCCUCCUCUCUUACUCUUCGAGCCCAUGGGGCUGCAGCCUCUAGCCUCUGAGUAAGACCACAUUCCCCCUUCAGACUUCCGGCCCUCUGACAUCUUCGUUACCAGACACUGCGUGAAGAAAUAUUCGAGUGGUUUCUGCUUUCCUGCCCAGACACUGAUUUCGAAAUUCCCGAAAAUUGAGAGUGACGCUGAGUCUCAAGCCAAGAAGGCCCAGGAAACGCUCAAAUUCUUUGUCUUUAAGAUUGAACAGAAAACAAGGGCAGUACUGGAUGGCACACUGAGGGGCCAUUCAGAGGCCAGGGCUCAGUUUUUGAGAACUAAGCUGAGGAGCCAGCGCUGUCUGAGAUCGCAUGCCUGCUGCACCUGAAGGACAGGGAACACCUGCUCUGUUGGUGGUGUGGCACGAGGGCACGGCCAUCUCCAUCCUGAAGGGCCAAAGACAUCCAGCAUGACUGAACUCGCCCAGGACAGAUGAAGGAAAUCUGUCUGGGAGAGCAGAAGAGUCUGAAGACCAGUUUUGAAAGAAAGCGCCCAACUCUGGACCUUCGGGACAGAGGAAUGCCUUGUCAACAGUGAUCACCAAGUGGGAUAAGGAAACUGAGGUCCAGAGAGGCUUGCCCAAGGUCAUGUAAGUAUUAAAUAACAGAGCUGUGAUUUCAGGUCUGGUGGCCUGGCUCCAGAGUUUACAUUUUAAACCAAAACACUAUCAUGCUUUUCAAAACUGAUUGAGUUCAUUCAAAAAGUAUUUAUUGAGCACUUAAGUGCUGGCCCCUGUUUCAGAUGCUGGAGAUGGGGCAGAGAAUGCAAAAGACACAGACAACUGCCCCCGUUGACCCCACAUCUCAGUGAGGGAGAUGGGGCUAUGGGGAAGCAGUGCCCUCAGGAGAGAACCAGGCUGGAGCCUGUCAAAUGGGAAAGUAUCAAAGAAGAGCCAUAGAAGCUGGGAGGGCAGAGGCUGGGGUCUAAUUAAGAGAGAUACAGCACUUUACAGGGAGAAAGUUCCAGGGGUAGGAAUCCAGAGGAUGGGGAAAAACUGGGAACUCAAAGCUUCUUAAGAGCACAGGAUAAAAAAUGAUAUCUAUAAUAAACAUUUCUUAAAUGUGGACAAGAGGGCAAAGGAUGUAAAUAGGUCACUCACAGGAAAACAAAUCCUAAUAGCAAAAACAUUAUACAUUUACAAGUAGUCAGGGAAUAAAUACAAAUUAAAGUUAAACUGAGCUAUUACUUUAAAACUACCAGACCAGCAAAAAUUUAAAAGAGCUAUCAUGCCUAUUGCUAACAGGGGUUGGAAAAAAAGAUACUCUAUUACAUAGCUAUCAGAAAUAAUAAAUGCUAUAGUGUGGUCUUAAAAAGCAAACAGGGGCAUCUGGGUGGCUCAGUCAAUUGAGUGUCCUACUCUUGAUUUCGGCUCAGGUCAUGAUCUUGGGGUUGUGAGUGGAGCCCUGCAUGUGGUUCCAUGCUUAGUAGGGGGUCUGCAGGAGAUUCUCUCUCCCUCUGCCCCUCCCACAUGAUCUCUCUCUCCCCCAACCCUUCUCAAAUCAAUCAAUCAAU